rnacentral:rRNA from 1 species
UAAGGAAUAUUGGUCAAUGGAGGGAACUCUGAACCAGCCAUGCCGCGUGAAGGAUGAAGGCGCUCAGCGUUGUAAACUUCUUUUGAAUGGGAACAAAAGUUGGGACUUGUCCUGAUCUGAGGGUACCAUUAGAAUAAGCACCGGCUAACUCCGUGCCAGCAGCCGCGGUAAUACGGAGGGUGCAAGCGUUAUCCGGAAUCACUGGGUUUAAAGGGUGCGUAGGCGGUUUUAUAAGUCAGUCGUGAAAAGCUCCGGCUUAACCGGUAGUCGUGCGAUUGAUACUGUGAGACUUGAAUCAGGUUGAGGUAGGCGGAAUGUGGCAUGUAGCGGUGAAAUGCAUAGAUAUGCCAUAGAACACCGAUUGCGAAGGCAGCUUGCUGGACCUGUAUUGACGCUGAGG